AAAAGGCGGUAACUGCUUACCUCUCAUGUAAGCUACAGCCUAUGUGGUGUGUGGCAAGUCAUAUUAAUGACCAAGAAUGACUUACUUGUAACUUAAUUGUUAUGUGCUUUUAAUAUGUGUUUCAGGCAGUGGUGUUGCAUCUUUUAUAUGCAUGGUUGUCCUGAAGUCAUUCUGGAACAGGGGUUGUGUUCAGGUGCGUGACAACUGACAACAUUGAGAAGACCCAGGAGCGGGAGAAGGGCAGCCUGAUGAAAGAAGGCGACAGUGUUCUGUGGUCACACCUGAGAUGAUGGUCCUGAAGAGGAACGAGAGGAGAUACUGGGCAUAUAAAUACAGGCACUGGUCAUCACAGUGGAGGACAAUCAUGAAAAGGUUGAGGGCUUCACUGUGCCCAUCCCUGAAGUCCCUCCACUCGGUGCAGCAGCUCUUUCCACCAUACUGCCAUGCUCUGGGUUGUCCCUGCCACCAUCCCCCUUUUGGGUCAUCCGUGCCGCCAGCCAUCACCGUGCCUGCAGCGCCUGGGUCAUCCGUGCCACUCCCCACCAUGCUGCCAGUCAUCACUGUGCCUGCAGCACCUGGGUCAUCCCUGCCACCAUCCACCGUGCCUUCAACGUCCACAGCACCUCCGGUCUCUGUGAGCCAGUUUGCAGCUCUACUGGCCUCUCCAGUAUACAGUAUGCUGUAACUGCUAAUGGUUUCUCUGAGUGGCCUGACCGGUUAAUUGUCCCGUAUCCCAACUAUUUACCACUAAACAAGUGAUUUUGUAAUAAGUAGGAGAUCUUUGCAAUGUUAUCAGUAUGGUUGGACUCUGAUGUUUCACUGCUGUAUGUCUUCCUCAAAGAGUAAAACGAAUUCUGAGUAUUCUUGGAUUUAGUCUUUGAAAAGUAGAG